AUGUCCCGAUGUCCCUUUGCCGGCGAUUCUCACAAUCUUAAAUCAUGAAGAAUUAAGCCCUAAGCUCCUGCUAGAUUUAUUGACAUUCGUGUUGCAGUUUUGUCUUGUUUUAUCACCGGCUUAAUUGUGUCAAAGCAGUGUCUAGAUUU
rfam:Arabis alpina cultivar Pajares scaff_63141_1_contig_6, whole genome shotgun sequence.